UUCACAAUGCGGAAAGUCGGGAUUUUACAAUCCGGCAACGCCGCAAUCGGCCAUCUUUGUUCUAAUUAAUUUUUCCCCGUGUAAAUUCCCAUAAGGAAUCGGGGUCCCUUUAGUUUAAAUUCAUUUUUAAUUUAUUGGUGCCUUAAAUAAAAUUUAUUUCUCAUUGAUCGUGUUCCCAGAUGAAUUAGUAACAUUUUCAUGUAUGGUAAGUAUUACUUGUGGCUUAUAUUAAUUAUGUAAUUUGAACUUUCAUUAGGUUGUUUUGAUUCUGGAAUGUCAAAACAGAUAUGUUGUGUGUUUGCCGUUUGGCUGGUAAUCAUGGUGGUAACAGAUACAAUGUUCGUGAAACUGUUAUGUAAGUUUUGCUUCCAAAUGUGAAUGUUAUCGGACAUCCAGAAUAUGUGGUUUUAUAAAGUAGGAGCCAUGUAUGGCUGAAAAGAACAAAUGUGAGAAAAAAAGAUUGACAAAACAAAGCAGAGUUUGCAACAUUUUGCUUCCGGUCAGCCAAGUUAUGUAUUUAACUAAAGAUGUUGACUGGGCACCAACACGUAAUCAUGAGAAUAAUUCCAUUGGGAUGGCUACUGUUAAAAGAAUUAGUCGCUCUGUAAGAAGGCAGAUUGCUUGUAUAUGUUCAAAGAUGUAAGAGGAUGACAGUUCCAAAAGAUGCAGUAACUGAUUUCAUGAAAGAUACCGCUGGAUAUACCCAAUGCAGAACACCUUUGAUAGACACAUCAACAAAUUGGUGAAUCAACAAACGAGCAGCAUCCAUCUACCUGCAACACAGCUCUUGCAUUAGAAAACUAGGCAUUGGUUCCUCGAAUAAAAGUAUUGAAAAAUGAAAAGACAAUUACUAGUUGAAACAGUGUCACAUGUUCAGUAUCUGUAUUAAAAACUUCUUUUCACCUCGUUUAAUACAAAUGUUUCUCUAGAAAAAAGAAUCGUGUGUAUUCUUAAAGUGAUAAAUAAAUAACGAUAAUGAAUCAGAUAGCCUAAUCAUAGUGAACGCUUCGUCAGAUUAGGGAACUAAAUGUUAAAGCAGUUGAAUAAGUAAAUUUUAAACUAGUUAACCCCAAAUACUUUUGAGGGAAUUUUUACCACAUAUUUUGGAUGUCCAAUAACAUUCACUUUUGGGAUGCAAAACUUACAUAACAGAUUCAUAAACAUUGUAUCUGUUACCGCAGCCAAACGGCAAACACACAACAAAUCUGUUUUGACAUUCCAGAAUCAAAACAACCUAAUGAAAGUUCAAAUUACAUAAUUAAUAUAAGCCACAAGUAAUACUUACCAUACAU